rnacentral:rRNA from 1 species
AACGAACGCUGGCGGCAUGCCUAACACAUGCAAGUCGAACGAACCCUUCGGGGUUAGUGGCGCACGGGUGCGUAACGCGUGGGAAUCUGCCCUUUGCUUCGGAAUAACAGUUAGAAAUGACUGCUAAUACCGGAUGAUGUCUUCGGACCAAAGAUUUAUCGGCAAGGGAGGAGCCCGCGUAGGAUUAGGUAGUUGGUGGGGUAAAGGCCUACCAAGCCGACGAUCCUUAGCUGGUCUGAGAGGAUGAUCAGCCACACUGGGACUGAGACACGGCCCAGACUCCUACGGGAGGCAGCAGUGGGGAAUAUUGGACAAUGGGCGCAAGCCUGAUCCAGCAAUGCCGCGUGAGUGAUGAAGGCCUUCGGGUCGUAAAGCUCUUUUACCAGGGAUGAUAAUGACAGUACCUGGAGAAUAAGCUCCGGCUAACUCCGUGCCAGCCGCCGCCGUAAGAC